rnacentral:misc_RNA from 1 species
AAGUCGUAACAAGGUUUCCGUAGGUGAAUCUGCGGAAGGAUUAUUAACACGUAUCCAAACGUUAAAACCCCCCCCGUGAACCUUCAUCCUGCUCUUGUAACCCGCGUAGUUCGCAAUCUCUGAUAAACAUUGGAACAGUUACAAUCGAGCGGUAGUUCGUUAGGCAAUGUUUCUCCAAGCAGUCAGUGUCGGAGAGUGUCAUUGAUUGUGCAAGGAUAGCGCUUCUACGAUUCCUGUAGACCGUACACUCGGGCAGGAGCUUUGCCAAAGGGUCCCCAUGCCCCCUAAUAACCCCACAGUUUAAUGUGAAGCUCAAUGUAAUACAUUGGGUAAAAAAACCGAACAACUGUUAACAAUGGAUAUCUUGGUUGGUUCUC